CCUCUGCAUGUGUACACACACACACACACACACACUGGAUAUCCUCAUGCUAUUCAUGAUUGUUUUCCUCUGUAUACAUAAAUAUGUGCUGCCAAAGAGCCACUUGUUAAUUUUCUUUUUCUUUGAAACGUGGUGUGAAAAAAAAAUGGUGGUGUGAACUUGCCACCUCCGCUGGACACUAUGCAGUCCUGUGGCCCGGCUCGGAGCACCCCGUAAAAAUAUAAAAAAAAUCCUUUCACAACAUGACAUCACCAGCUAUAUCACCUAAAAACAUGAGACUGGAUGGCAUGCCGUUAGUAGAGCUGCAACAAUUCAUCUAUUGUCAACUAUUGACUUUUGAUGACCGAAUCAAUCAUCAGUUUGAGUUUUUUUUUUUUUUUUUUACAAAAAGCAAAAAUUCAGCUUCUGAAAUGUUAGUAUUGCUAGAAAAUACACCAGAUGCCCCCAUUGUCAGAAUGAUGGUGGGUUUCAGCUCGUCAGACCGAGAGAGGUGGUCUUCGUCUUUAUUCCUGUGGCCCGUGUAUACGGUUACAUGACCGGGUCAGUUAUUCAUUUGAGAUCCUUCACUGAAAUUUGAACUGAACACCCAAACAGAGAGAGGGGAAAGAAUGAAGGGCUUUUGGUGAUGAGACGUUUUCCAUGUACAGCUCGUACCCUCGGUGAAUUAGAAGAGGCUGUGUAAAACCCAUUAUUUCUUUGUUUUAGACACAUCCUAUUGGGUUGUUAACUGCAUUCUGCUGCAUUCUUUUCCUGGCAGUUUGAAUCACUCUUUGUGGUGUGUGUGUGUGUGUGUGUGUGUGUAACACUUUCCCUGAGCCAGAAUGUUUCUGGCUGGAUGCUAAGAAUU